ACUGAUGAGGUGGAACCAAAGCUGUUCAGCAGAAGAAAGCAACCACAGAGCAGCCUGUUGGGUGGAGGGCUUGAGGGUUCCUAAAAUCCGAGGACUUUCUGUGAUCCGUACGUGAAACUUUCAUUGUACGUAGCGGAUGAGAAUAGAGAACUUGCUUUGGUCCAGACAAAAACAAUUAAAAAGACGCUGAACCCAAAAUGGAAUGAAGAAUUUUAUUUCAGGGUAAACCCAUCUAAUCACAGACUCCUAUUUGAAGUAUUUGAUGAAAAUAGACUGACACGAGACGACUUCCUGGGCCAGGUGGACGUGCCCCUUAGUCACCUUCCGACAGAAGAUCCAACCAUGGAGCGACCCUAUACAUUUAAGGACUUUCUCCUCAGACCAAGAAGUCAUAAGUCUCGAGUUAAGGGAUUUUUGCGAUUGAAAAUGGCCUAUAUGCCGAAAAAUGGAGGCCAAGAGGAAGAAAACAGUGAGCAGAGGGAUGACAUGGAGCAUGGAUGGGAAGUUGUUGACUCAAAUGACUCGGCUUCUCAGCACCAAGAGGAACUUCCUCCUCCUCCUCUGCCUCCCGGGUGGGAA
rnacentral:sRNA from 1 species